UACAGAGGUGCCAAGCGUUAGGCGGAAUCACUGGGCUUAAAGCGUGUGUAGGCGGACCUGUAAGUGUCUUGUGAAAUCCCACGGCUCAACCGUGGAACUGCUUGACAUACUGCGGGUCUUGGGCCACUUAGGGGUCAGCGGAACAAAUGGUGGAGCGGUGAAAUGCGUAGAUAUCAUUUGGAACGCCAAUGGUGAAAACAGCUGACUGGGAGUGUGCUGACGCUGAGACACGAAAGCCAGGGGAGCGAACGGG
rnacentral:rRNA from 1 species